CGCGGCAUUAUUAUGCAUCGGGCUAGUUAACAGCAGCACCAGCGUGCACAGAGCGCAAGACGUAGAAGUUUACAAAGAAAAGCGCCUGUCAGGCAGCCCCGCCUCACAGGCAGAUAACAACAAAAGAGCGCGACUUACUGAUGUCACACAUCUAAGCCCGCCCUUCCACUCCCCAGAGCCUAUGAAUGGAUCGCUAUUGGAUACAGUCUAGAAAAUUCACUGAAGAAAGAGUUCAAUCCAAAUGUAUAAAGAACAGUUUACCUGCUUAACAACACAUCAGAGGAAGAUUUGAUUCAUGAACAUUUGCAAACUCGUAGCUGCAAUGGGGAAGGGUUCUUCUCAGCAAAACAUGAGUCUAAAAGCUGUGUUUAUUAUCGAUGUGAGAGAUCAAACAAAGCAAAAGGAAAAUCACAAGGGGACCCAUGCAAAACAAGAACUAAUGGUUGCAAAGCCUAUGUUAUUUUUACAUUCAUUCAUGAAACAUCUUUCAAUGGAUGUGUGGUGCGACUUCAAACUGUUCAUAAUGGUCAUGCUCUAAAAGAUACUAGUCAGCAAAAAGUGAUUCAAAUUCAUCCUGAACUACUCACGGUGAUUGAAGCAUAUUUGGCACAAGAUCUCAACUGAUAUACUGUAGGUGUUAGAGCAGCAGAGUGGGCAAAACAGUGAGGGUUUAAUGAUUUACGGGACCGCUGAUACAGUGUCACACCCCGUGAUGUUAAAGUAAUUAAAGAACAAUACGUAUCCAGACAAUACCUGGGUAUUGAUGAUUCCUCUAGUGUGGAUAAAAUGGUAAAAACAGACCUUAAAAACUGUGUUAUUUUAUCAGCCACUAGCACAGUGCGUCACAGACUCUCAUACUUGUCUUAUCCACUGAAUGACGCUUCAACAGUUACAGAAGCAUGGAAGUGAUUUUUUUAGAUGCUGCAUAUGAAGGAGUCUCUGCAUAUUCAUUUGGAAGUGAUUUUUUAGAUGCUCAUACGAAGGAGUCUCUGCAUAUUCAUUUGGAAGUGAUUUUUUAGAUGCUCAUACGAAGCAGUCUCUGCAUAUUCAUUUGGAAGUGAUUUUUUAGAUGCUCAUACGAAGCAGUCUCUGCAUAUUCAUUUGGAAGUGAUUUUUUAGAUGCUCAUACGAAGGAGUCUGCAUAUUCAUUUGGAAGUGAUUUUUUUAGAUGCUCAUACGAAGGAGUCUCUGCAUAUUCAUUUGGAAGUGAUUUUUUAGAUGCUCAUACGAAGGAGUCUCUGCAUAUUCAUUUGGAAGUGAUUUUUUAGAUGCUCAUACGAAGGAGUCUGCAUAUUCAUUUGGAAGUGAUUUUUUUAGAUGCUCAUACGAAGGAGUCUCUGCAUAUUCAUUUGGAAGUGAUUUUUUAGAUGCUCAUACGAAGGAGUCUCUGCAUAUUCAUUUGGAAGUGAUUUUUUUAGAAGCUCAUACGAAGGAGUCUCUGCACAUUCAUUUGCACUGUAUGCCUUGCUGAUUCCAAGUGAAGCAGGCCGUGGUGUUCCUGUUGCUUUUUUCAUUUUAAGUGAAGAAAAUACAGAAAAUCUGGCAUUGUGUCUCUGCAAAGUGAGAGAUGCCCUAAAUGGUUUUGCACCCAGGAUGAAGAAUACUGACUCUGUAUACUGAUUGGCUGGGUGUCAUUGCAGAAUGAAGAAUACUGACUCUGUAUACUGAUUGGCUGGGUGUCAUUGCAGAAUGAAGAAUACUGACUCUGUAUACUGAUUGGCUGGGUGUCAUGGCUAUGUUGGAAUCCAUUAUAUUCCAUCCUUACGUGCUGGAUGUGUGAUGAUCGACAAAGAUCAAAAAGAAGUAAAUGCAGCAAGGGAUGUGUUUCCUGGUGUUCUCCUCCUUUGCUGGUUUCAUGUACUACAGGUACACACAGGAAUGUGCCAUUAGAUGGUUGGUCCGGUGGGAUGGAGGAAACUUAAAUGUCUCAGAUAGAAAUGAAGUGAUCUGAUCUAUGAUUAGAUUAAAACAAUGUAACACUGUAAGUAGUGUGACAGAAAUAUAAUGAGUUUUGAUUGUAAAUCUCCCUCCCGACCUGUGAGGGCGCUAAGCAGCGAAAGUAGAGUUCUUUGGAUGGGCUGGCCUGACAGUUCUUUCCCCGGGCCGGGAAGUCGGUCAGUCUGGAAGGCGAUGAGACUCUGUUGCAGGAGCGUAUUGACCCAGAAGAGAAACGACAUAGCAGCUGCAGAUAGUAGAGACAGCUGCAAUCGUUUACCAAGGGGUCAUGCGUGAUAGCAUAAAAGGGGACAGAGAAUCACAAUCCACUUCUUUGCUUGGUUCGAUAGACAAGGAACUGGAAGGAUCGGGAGAAACCUCUAAAUAUAAUAUAAAUAAUUUGUGA